rnacentral:pre_miRNA from 1 species
CGUGCACCAGUGGGGUCCCUUGGCCUGGCCUGUGCCCUCUCGCAAUCCGGGAUCCCUCGGGGAAUGUUGGAGAGCUGGUUUCGGCCUGAUCCAGCAGGCCAGGCCAAGGGACCCCACUGGUGCACA